rnacentral:lncRNA from 1 species
CAAGUUCUCAGUUCCGGCCCUUACUAUGGAUCACCUUAAAUUUUUGACUUCCUCUUCUAGUUUCAUCUUUUUCAGCAGCAUAUCCUGGUACAUCCGGUGGAACCACCGGCGCUCAUCCUCCGACUCUCGAAGCCUCCUCCUCAAGACCUCGAACUCCGCCUCAGCAUCCUUGACUGUCUGCUGCUCGUGGACCAGCUGAACUUUCAGCCGCCGUAAUUCAACUUCCUCCCGC